UUAUCAAAAUUUGUUAAUUUUAGAUUUUGUCCAGGUUGCCAGAAAUUUGUUUUGUUUGCAGUUGGAUGAAGUAAAUGUUGGUGUCCAUGAAAUCUCCAGCAUCUUGGACUCACAGCUUCUUCCCUGUGAUUCUCUAGAAGCCGAUGAGCUGGGAAAACUUAAACAAGAAAGGGAUGCUGCUCGGGAAGAAGUGAACGCGCUGAAGGAGAAAUUACUUGAAUCAGAGAAACAUAGGAAGGAGCUAACAGAAGAACUCCAGAGUGUGAAACAGGUAAG